CGAGCGGGGUGGAACGAGGCUGCAGAACAGGACUGCGUUCGCUAAGGCUCUGACGAUUUCUUCUCCCUCUCCAUUUCUCUCUACUCAGCAAACUGGAUGCAGUCUAUCACAGUGCCAUCCGUUUUGUCACCAAAGCCCCAUAUACCACCCACCACUGCGACCUGUAUGCUCUCGUUGGCUGGCCCUCACUACAUAUUAGUCAUCAGACCCACUGACUACAGGUCAUCUAUAAGUCUUUGCUAGAAUAUUGCCUCACAAAAUGGAACCAGCAACCAACCGAGACAUCUCCCAAAUGGUCAGUGAACAGGGAGACCUAUCUCGCCAACACCACGAUCAGCUGGCGCAACUGGGGAUGGUGAUGGAUGAGGUCUUCCGCCUUCUUCAACAUCUAGAUCUUCCCCACAGGGCAUCACCCCAAUGAGCGGAGGAUCCUCUACCAUGGGUUGACCGAGCGAGCCAGCAGCCCAGCACAUUCAGCAGUCUGCCCAGGUCAGCGAUGCCCAUUUGUCCCUUCCAGACAGAUUUGACGGGACCCCAUCCAAAUGCCGUGGCUUCCUUCUCCAGUUUUCCCUCUAUUUCCUCAUAAAAUGGGAGCCCCCACCACCGAGAUGUCCAAGGCUGCCACGGAUAUUUCACUGUUGACUGGGCUGGUGUUGGAAUGGGCUACGGCCGUCUGGGAGAGCGGAGAGGAGAAGCCUGG
rnacentral:lncRNA from 1 species